GGAAAUAUUUAGAAAUUAUAUAUUUAAGUAGUGGAUACAAAAGGCGAUUUGAUAUAAAAGUAUCGCAUUGUAUGGCCUACUUAACUAGCUGAUUUUGUAUUCC
rnacentral:pre_miRNA from 1 species